CUAUGUCAGGCCACUCCCCGGGUGGGCGGGGCUACACGCGAGUGGGCGUGUCCCCCCUGACCCCUCCUCCUUCUCUCUCCCUCCCUCCCUCUCCCCCCUCCAGGUGUACCUGGCCCCGGGGGCGGCCUUCCUGCCGGGGGGGGGUCGCUGGGGUCGCCUGAACAACGGGCGGGGUUAUGGGGCGGGGCUCCUGGGGCUCCUGGGCUUGGGGGCCGCCGCCCCUCCCCCCGUGCCCCGCCUCCUGGCCCCACUGGGCCCCACCGGCCUCCUCCUGGCCCUCCUGGGGCUGGGGGCGGGGGCCCUGCGCCCCUCCCCCCCCACGUGAGUCACCCCCCCUCCUUCCCCUCCUCCUCCCCCCCCGCCCGGUAUGCAAAUGAGAUGCUAAUAAGGCUCCACCCCCUAAAGGCUCUGCCUUCCCGCCCAACCCGGAGGCCGCCUGCAGCCCUGCCCCACGGCUCCGCCCCACGGCUCCGGGGGGGGCAAUGGCAGCCGGGGGGGGGCACGGCCGGCCCUGCCCGGGGUCAGCGCCCGCCUCCUGGCGCGGAACCUGUGGCCCCACCCCCCGGGGGCGGGGCUGGGCGGGGCCGAUGACGUCAUCGAUGACGACGCCUCCUUCGGGGUCCUGCUGGGGCUGAGCCUCCCCACGGCCUCCGGUUCGGGGGGUCCCUGGGGGGCUCCCCCGUGUGUGGGGCGGCCUCGUGGCCCUGGCCGUGGGUCGCGGUGGUUGGGGGGCUGCUGUCGGCGGGGGGGGCCGGGCUGGAGGCCCUGCUGGGGGGCAGCCGCCUCCUGCGGGGGCUGCUGCGGGCCCGCGCCCUGCCCCUCCCCACGGCCGUGGGGCGGGGGCGGCUGUGGCCGCUGGUGGCCACGGGCUCGGUGGGGGCCCUGGGGGUGCUGCUGGGCUCCCUGGACCUGCUGGCGCCCGUGCUCUCCGUAUUCUGGUUGACGUCGUAUUUGGGGGUCAACCUGGGCUGCGCCCUCCAAGGGCUGCUCCCCACCCCCGGCUGGAGCCCCCGCUGCCGCCUCUACCACUGGUGAGAUCCUGCCCCAUAGAUCAGCCCCCCUGCCCCAUAGAGACCCAUAGAUCACCCCCCUGCCCCAUAGAUUGCUCUCCUGCCCCAUAGAUUACUCUCCUGCCCCAUAGAGACCCAAUCUGUAGCUGAAGACCCCGCUGCCGACUCUAUCACUGGUGAGAUCCUGCCCCAUAGAUCAUCCUCUCUGCCCCAUAGAUCACCCCCCUGCCCCAUAAAUCACUCUCCUGCCCCAUAGAUUACCCAUAGAGACCCAUAGAAACGUCCCCUGCCCCAUAGAGAGCCAACCCCCGGCUGGAGCCCCUCCUGCCAUCUCUACCGCUGGUGAGAUCCUGCUCCAUAGAUCACGCUCCUGCCCCAUAGAUCAGCC
rnacentral:lncRNA from 1 species